UACGUAGGGUGCGAGCGUUAAUCGGAAUUACUGGGCGUAAAGCGUGCGCAGGCGGUUCUGGAAGUCAGCUGUGAAAGCCCCGGGCUUAACCUGGGAAUUGCGGUUGAAACUACAGGGCUAGAAUCUGGCAGAGGGGGGUGGAAUUCCACGUGUAGCAGUGAAAUGCGUAGAGAUGUGGAGGAACACCGAUGGCGAAGGCAGCCCCCUGGGCUGAGAUUGACGCUCAGGCACGAAAGCGUGGGGAGCAAACAGG
rnacentral:rRNA from 1 species